rnacentral:tRNA from 1 species
GAGGGUAUAGCUCAGUGGUAGAGCACGUGCUUAGCAUGCACGAGGUCCUGGGUUCCAUCCCCAGCACCUCG